AAAUAACAGCCAUCUGAUUCUCAGUUUGAUGGUCCGGAUUUACCCAAACAUAGGCAACUGUUUACCUCCACGUGUCUACUUCUAAUUAGUGCUAGAGAAAAACAGUUCCCCGACCCAAUCCGUCACCCCUCCCGUCCUCUUUCUCGAUCCCUCUCGAAAUAAUGCCGGUCCGCUCUCGCUCUUCUCCUUCCCUCUCUCCUUGUGCAGGCAGGGCGACGGCAGCUUUACCUCCAUUCUUCCCUCCCCCACCGCACGCGUCGCACGGGCGGUGCACCGGCGAUGCCCGCCCGGUCGCUCCCUCCCGAAGCGAGCCGCGGCUCCCUCUCUCCCCCACGCAAGCGGCGGUGAUGAUGACCUUGGGAUGCAGCGCCCCUACGGUGGGUGUCCCCGUCCCCGGCCAUGGAGCGACGCGACCAGGCCCCGGCGGUGCCACACGGCGCGGCUUCCCCUUGGUGCUGCCUCUGCGCCCGCCUCGCGUAUGCUCGGUGAAACCCUAGCUGCUCUUCUUCGCCGGCCAUGAGUGUGGCUCCGCUCGGCGGCCGCAACCGGUGGCCGCGCCCCCCGCGACGGCAGCAGCGGCCGUCGUCCCCACGGGCUCCCCCGCGCUGUGGCGCCACCGGCACCCACCAAUUGCAGGUAAACCCAGAUUUGGAGAUGGAGCUAAACUCGCAAGGAUGAUCUAGGACAUUUCAACGAUAGUCAGUAAGAUGUUUGGGAACUGGUAAGUUCAUCCUACAGCCAUCAAGUCAAAUUGAUUUAGAAACAAUCAUUACUCUGUUAAAAGAGCUAUACAUGGUGAGAAAAGAUUGCAUUGGAGAAUUUGCGAACAGUCAGGAUUGAAUUGAAAAUUUAAUGUAUCUGAUUGCAUAUGGCUGCUAUGUGACCAUGUUCAGGAUGAAAAUAGAUGCCUCUUGUAUGAAAUCGUCUUACAAUGUGCUAUUGUUUAGUGUUUGUGAAUUCCUAACUGAAGCUACUGCAGAUUUAAUGCCGCUAGCAAAAAAAAGUUUUCGCUACUGAUGUAUUUACUAAUGUAAGCAUUUUUUUGGCUCUUGCAAGGAGUAAAAAAUUUGACGAUGCUUGGACGAGUCUAUGCUACCAUUCUCUAAUUUGAUUCGAUUUGCAAUUCUGCAGGACGAGCAAAAUCUAUCAAAUGUGGUAACAUUGCAGAUUCAGUUUUUUGGACUUACUUUUCCAAUCAAGAGCAACAUCAUACAUUAGGAUUUUGCUUCAUUUUAGUUAUUUUCUACCUGUGUUCCUCUUUUCCCAUCAUAGAUUAGGAUUUUACCACCCGAUGGAUGAUAAUAUGCUCAGUAUGUUUUCAUACUUUGUUGCUAUAUAUGUUCUCUUCCAGUACGUGUAGGAGUAGAUGUCUAUUACCGGUGCACCACCUUCGUCUCAUAUGUGUCAUGCUUAUAGUCAGACUAUUUUACAAAAGACACAUUCAGUUAUUUAUUUCUUAGCUUCUGUACUGAAUUUACAUACUCUUACUCCCUAAAUGGUUCACCACACAUUUACUAGGUGCUUUAACUCUAAUAGUUGUUUAUAUCUUGGACUCUAACAGCAUUCCCAGCAGUUCAAUGAUACUGUUGACAUGCUCUGAUUCAAAUAGGGUAUAUUUCAGAAUUAUAGUUGUCCGUCCAUGUUGCUUUCUACGUGCAAAAGAGCAUAUGACUGAACUCUGUUCUUUUAUUUUCUUUAUUUCAAAGACAAAAGUACAUGUUGCCUCAUCUUUGAUUUUGUUACCUGCAUAAACCUCAUGAUAUUUAUACAGCAGGACGUAGGAUAUGCAGGAUGCUUAGGAGGCAGGGUAUGCAGGAUGCACGGCGUACAGAUUAUAAACCACGGACAGACCUUGCUGCAAACUGAUGUUUCAAAAUGCUUUAUCAAAUGCUCCACAAAUGAAAAUUAGGACGUCACUAGCUAUUUUGGUUUGUACCUGUAAGGACCAUGAUUGUUUCUGGUGUGUUCGUCUUUGUCACUGCUGCAGAACUGCCCAAUUUCCUGAUUCUUGUUUUCCCUGACAAGCAAUUCCAAACGACUAACAAAAGGUUCAUGUCGCAGACACACAACCACCUCUGCUCCUUCACACAAUAGUCAACGUCGAACCCCGCAGUUGAUGAAACGCAGCAACAACAUAGUACAACUAGCAAAGACUACUUCAAUAGGAGCCUGUUGACUAUGUAAUAUUUAGGCUAAUAUACCUACAAUCAUCCUUAGUGACUUAGAACCAAUAGCGUCUAUCUCAGACCAACAACGUGUAUGUAAUAUUUUAGGCAAACAAUGUCGGAUCAAUGGUCACAACCACCCCAACAAUCUAAUUAUGUUCUGUAAUAUAAGAGCCGACAACCACCCUAUAUUGCUCCUAUAUGUUCAAGAAAGCCUA